rnacentral:rRNA from 1 species
GACGAACGCUGGCGGCGUGCUUAACACAUGCAAGUCGAACGGGAGUAUUGAAGAAGCUUGCUUUAGAGAUACUUUAGUGGCGGACGGGUGAGUAACGCGUGAGGAGCUGUCCUAUGCAGGGGGACAACAGCUGGAAACGGCUGCUAAUACCCCAUAAGCCGAGAGGUAAAAGGAUCAAUCCGGCAGAGGAGGUACUCGCGUCCUAUCAGCUAGUAGGUGAGGUAACGGCUCACCAAGGCGAUGACGGGUAGCUGGUCUGAGAGGAUGAUCAGCCUCGAUGGGACUGAGACACGGCCCAUACUCCUACGGGAGGCAGCAGUUGGGGAUUUUGCACAAUGGAGGAAACUCUGAUGCAGCGACACUGCGUGAAGGAUGAAGGUUCUAGGAUCGUAAACUUCUUUUAUCAGGGAGUAAUCUUGAAAGUACCUGAUGAAUAAGGACCGGCUAACUACGUG